UUUAAGCCCCAGAUAGAAGUGAAAAGCCUUGAAAGCAUAAAAUCUAUUUUUUCUUGAAAAAAAAGAGCGACCCUAGAAGCUCCUUUUUUUUUAUUAGAAAAAAAGAUUUUUUGCAGAAAGCUUAAAACGUACAGCUGGAAUAGGC
rnacentral:misc_RNA from 1 species